UACGGGGGGGGCAAGCGUUGUUCGGAAUUACUGGGCGUAAAGGGUCUGUAGGUGGCUUGCUAAGUCAGACGUGAAAUCCCUCGGCUUAACCGGGGAACUGCGUCUGAUACUGGAUGGCUAGAGGUUGGGAGAGGGAUGCGGAAUUCCAGGUGUAGCGGUGAAAUGCGCAGAUAUCAGGAAGAACACCCGUGGCGAAGGCGGCUCUCUGGGACGGUACUGACGCUGAGACGCGAAAGCGUGGGGAGCGAACAGG
rnacentral:rRNA from 1 species